AGUGAACGCUGGCGGUAGGCCUAACACAUGCAAGUCGAACGGCAGCACAGUAAGAGCUUGCUCUUACGGGUGGCGAGUGGCGGACGGGUGAGGAAUACAUCGGAAUCUACUUUUUCGUGGGGGAUAACGUAGGGAAACUUACGCUAAUACCGCAUACGACCUACGGGUGAAAGCAGGGGAUCUUCGGACCUUGCGCGAUUGAAUGAGCCGAUGUCGGAUUAGCUAGUUGGCGGGGUAAAGGCCCACCAAGGCGACGAUCCGUAGCUGGUCUGAGAGGAUGAUCAGCCACACUGGAACUGAGACACAGUCCAGACUCCUACGGGAGGCAGCAGUGGGGAAUAUUGGACAAUGGGCGCAAGCCUGAUCCAGCCAUACCGCGUGGGUGAAGAAGGCCUUCGGGUUGUAAAGCCCUUUUGUUGGGAAAGAAAAGCAGCAGGUUAAUACCCCGCUGUUCUGACGGUACCCAAAGAAUAAGCACCGGCUAACUUCAUG
rnacentral:rRNA from 1 species